rnacentral:lncRNA from 1 species
AAAAAUCCCAAAAUCCUCCAUUCCACUGCUUCACUGCUUCACUUUCCAUUAUCCUCGGUAUAACUUUCAUUCCCUUUUUCAUUUUCUGCUUCAUAUUCAAGGUAAGCCUCUUAAAAACUCAAUCUUGAUAACACCCACCAACCCCUUUUAGCUAAAUUUUACUUAAUUUUCAUAUAAAUUUGGAAUAGCCCUUUAAAAAUCUAAUCUUGAUAAUCACCCAC